AAAUAGUUGGAUUUUCUGAUAAAUUUUCUAUUUCUUCUCGGCUCAAUGAUAUUGGCGUUUCUUCUAUAACUUCAGGAGGGGGAGAAGUGAAGCAAGAGGGUAACUUCAAAGAAAAAAAUAUUGAACAACCAAGAUCACAAAUAGAUUUUUGUUAUUUUCUUGAAAAGAAAUAAUUCUGCAUAAAUCAAUACGAAGGAAAGUAACAUCAUA
rnacentral:misc_RNA from 1 species